GACGGUACAUUUCGUGCUUGCUCGACGAUGACGAGUGGCGGACGGGUGAGUAAUGCUUGGGAACUUGCCUUUGCGAGGGGGAUAACAGUUGGAAACGACUGCUAAUACCGCAUAAUGUCUUCGGACCAAACGGGGCUUCGGCUCCGGCGCAAAGAGAGGCCCAAGUGAGAUUAGCUAGUUGGUAAGGUAACGGCUUACCAAGGCGACGAUCUCUAGCUGUUCUGAGAGGAAGAUCAGCCACACUGGGACUGAGACACGGCCCAGACUCCUACGGGAGGCAGCAGUGGGGAAUAUUGCACAAUGGGGGAAACCCUGAUGCAGCCAUGCCGCGUGUGUGAAGAAGGCCUUCGGGUUGUAAAGCACUUUCAGUUGUGAGGAAAAGUUAGUAGUUAAUACCUGCUAGCCGUGACGUUAACAACAGAAGAAGCACCGGCUAACUCCGUGCCAGCAGCCGCGGUAAUACGGAGGGUGCGAGCGUUAAUCGGAAUUACUGGGCGUAAAGCGCACGCAGGCGGUUUGUUAAGCUAGAUGUGAAAGCCCCGGGCUCAACCUGGGAUGGUCAUUUAGAACUGGCAGACUAGAGUCUUGGAGAGGGGAGUGGAAUUCCAGGUGUAGCGGUGAAAUGCGUAGAUAUCUGGAGGAACAUCAGUGGCGAAGGCGACUCCCUGGCCAAAGACUGACGCUCAUGUGCGAAAGUGUGGGUAGCGAACAGGAUUAGAUACCCUGGUAGUCCACACCGUAAACGCUGUCUACUAGCUGUGUGUGCCUUUAAGGCGUGCGUAGCGAAGCUAACGCGCUAAGUAGACCGCCUGGGGAGUACGGCCGCAAGGUUAAAACUCAAAUGAAUUGACGGGGGCCGCACAAGCGGUGGAGCAUGUGGUUUAAUUCGAUGCAACGCG
rnacentral:rRNA from 1 species